GAGUUCUUGCUUGAGUGCAAAUUCAGGAAGCAAUGGUGCUACCAGAUAGGAAAAAAAGAAGAUAAGCAGGAGGAAACACAGCACGCCAGAGGAAGCAGUUUCAAAACAUCUACCUUUAGGAUUCGUCGAGUGAAAGCAAACUGGUCGUUAGAAAGAAAUCCGUGAUUGUGGCGAGGAAAAACCAUCUAAGCCAGGACAUCAGUAUCAGAAAAGCAAGGCUGGAAGGAACCUCUAGUUCAACCCACUCCUUGAGGCAAGAUUGUCCCUGUCUAAACCGUCCCAGACGAAAUGAGGGAAAAAAAAAUUGCCUGUACUGCCAAUUCACUGCCAAAUGCUGCACUGGAGACUGAAGUACUGUACGACUGAACGGGCCUGAGACUGAAGUUGUGCAGUCCACAACUGCUUGACACCUUCAUGAUGCAGCCAGAUGCAAAGUCUAAGUCAGGCCCACCAAAGCAAUAAGUUGUCAAUCAAGCGCUUUUUAGCCAAACUGUCAUCUCCUGCCUAUUUCUGGCAAUUCUCACAUACUUUUGAGCACCUUUUCUACUUCCCAGGAGCAAAAUGCCAAGCAUACCAGACAUCUAUUUCAAAGUCUACCAACCCCAAGCAUGUUACACGUCUGCCUGUUUGUAUGGUCAGUACAAACAAGAUGAUGUACAAUAGCAUAAUUAAUACAUUUAGAAUGGA